rnacentral:rRNA from 1 species
UACGUAGGGGGCAAGCGUUGUCCGGAAUCAUUGGGCGUAAAGCGCGUGUAGGCGGCUCGGUAAGUCCGCUCUGAAAGUCCAGGGCUCAACCCUGGGAUGCGGGUGGAUACUGCCGGGCUCGAGUCCGGAAGAGGCGAGUGGAAUUCCCGGUGUAGCGGUGAAAUGCGCAGAUAUCAGGAGGAACACCGGUGGCGAAGGCGGGUCUCUGGGCCGAUACUGACACUGAGGAGCGAAAGCGUGGGGAGCGAACAGG